UACGUAGGGUGCAAGCGUUAAUCGGAAUUACUGGGCGUAAAGCGUGCGCAGGCGGUGUUGUAAGUCAGAUGUGAAAUCCCCGGGCUCAACCUGGGAACUGCAUUUGUGACUGCAUCGCUGGAGUACGGCAGAGGGGGAUGGAAUUCCGCGUGUAGCAGUGAAAUGCGUAGAUAUGCGGAGGAACACCGAUGGCGAAGGCAAUCCCCUGGGCCUGUACUGACGCUCAUGCACGAAAGCGUGGGGAGCAAACAGG
rnacentral:rRNA from 1 species